GUGUCAGCCGCCGCGGUAAUACGGAGGGUGCAAGCGUUAUCCGGAUUCACUGGGUUUAAAGGGUGCGUAGGUGGGCAGGUAAGUCAGUGGUGAAAUCUCCGGGCUUAACCCGGAAACUGCCAUUGAUACUAUCUGUCUUGAAUACCCUGGAGGUGAGCGGAAUAUGUCAUGUAGCGGUGAAAUGCUUAGAUAUGACAUAGAACACCCAUUGCGAAGGCAGCUCACUACGGGAAUAUUGACACUGAGGCACGAAAGCGUGGGGAUCAAACAGGAUUAGAUACCCUCGUAGUCC
rnacentral:rRNA from 1 species